rnacentral:rRNA from 1 species
UACGUAGGGGGCUAGCGUUGUCCGGAUUUAUUGGGCGUAAAGAGCGUGUAGGCGGCCAAGUAGGUCCGUUGUGAAAACUGGAGGCUUAACCUCCAGCUGUCGAUGGAAACCAUUUGGCUAGAGUCCGGAAGAGGAGAGUGGAAUUCCUGGUGUAGCGGUGAAAUGCGCAGAUAUCAGGAAGAACACCCGUGGCGAAGGCGGCUCUCUGGGACGGUACUGACGCUGAGACGCGAAAGCGUGGGAGCGAACAGG